rnacentral:lncRNA from 1 species
AAUUCUGGAGAUUCCAUUCGGUUCUCAACUUGAAUAGACCGUUCUCGGUAACUUCAUCUCCCUACUGAAUCUCAAGAGAAUUAGAUUUCUGCUCCUACUCCUUAUUACCUCGAUAUCGUUGUUCGUUUCUUAGCUGGCAUGAAAUAUGGCGUAGGUAACUUAUUCAAUGAAUUACUUCAGGUGCAUCUCAAUCUAGCUAAUCAGAGAGAUAGAGCAUUAGGGACAUUUGAAGUGUGGCUUUCGCAGAGUAGCCCAUUGGGC